UGGCCUAUAGUAUAAUGGUAGUACAACUGAUUUUGGUUCAGUUUGUCUUGGUUCGAAUCCAGGUAGGCCAA
rnacentral:tRNA from 1 species